rnacentral:rRNA from 1 species
UACGAAGGGGGCUAGCGUUGCUCGGAAUCACUGGGCGUAAAGGGUGCGUAGGCGGGUCUUUUAAGUCAGGGGUGAAAUCCUGGAGCUCAACUCCAGAACUGCCUUUGAUACUGAGGAUCUUGAGUUCGGGAGAGGUGAGUGGAAUUCCUAGUGUAGAGGUGAAAUUCGUAGAUAUUAGGAAGAACACCAGUGGCGAAGGCGGCUCACUGGCCCGGUACUGACGCUGAGGCGCGAAAGCGUGGGGAGCAAACAGGG